AAUAGAGCAGUAAAGAAGAAAUAUUAAUCUAGAAAAUAAUUAUUCUUAAAUGAAAGAGUUACAGAGGGAAGACAUUAAAACAAGCAAAUAGAGCAAACAAGAAACAAACAACAAGUAAACAAGAAAAAAACAACAAGCAAACAAGAAAAAAAAUAUUGAGUGUCAUCAUCAUAACCAAGACGACUAGGAGGAAAAAACACUUCAGAGUUAUCAAGGUUGCACAAAGACUCCCUUUUGUCUUCAAAUUUCAUCUAACAUAGGUUGUGUCUCCCCAAUUUAACUAAAUAGUCAUUUGACUCUUCCAAUUCUAUAUAGAAUCCAACACACAUUAGAAUAUUUGUAAUCAGGUCACCAUAUUGUAACCACACACUUCGCUUCCUUUGGCAUUGAAUCAGGUGGUAGAUUACCCCAUCUAGCCUAAUUAGUUUCAUCAUUGUUGGCUAU
rnacentral:lncRNA from 1 species